AUUUGGUAAAUAGAAUCACAUAGAUAUGGUUGAAUAUCUUGGUUUUAACAAGACAAAUUAUUUAGAUAUUUAGAAUGUUGGAGUUGAGCAGAGUUAUGAGUUUUGACAAUUUUACUCUUAAAACUCUAAGGUUACUUCCUAGGAAAGAAAAUUGCAUUUUAGUCUUUAGCUCUAAGAUUAUUAUUAGUUGAGUUAGUGGGAGUUUUAUAAUUUCAUUAAGUCUUUUAUGAGCUUAUUAUUGUUUUAGAUGAAACAAAAGAACUUAAAGACAAAAGUCAAGUUAAAGGAUAAUUAUAAAAAAAAUUCAUCCUCACAUUUCUUUCUCUCUUUCUUGGUCGGCCUCACCUAAAACCCAAAGGACCUGACCCUUUUUCACCCAAUUCAAGGGGGGAUCUCAGGUAGGUUUUGAAGUUCAAGGGGUACUAAGUGCAUAUGGUACAAAAGUUAGGAGGUUCGAACUACCCUACUAACACUAGUGCUUUAGAGGUACAUAAUGCAUAUGGUACAAAGGUUAGUAGAGCUUCAAGGGGGUACAAGCUAUUUGUACUCUUGUCAAGACCGUUUGAGACUCGUACGAGUAGGACACGUGAUUUUAUAAUAGUGAAAUGAAUAAUUGGUUAUUUCAUGUAUUAUUUUAUUUUUCUUGCUGAGUCCUUGUGACUCACAGGUGUUUAGUGGUGCAGUUAAAUGCAAAAAAAAGCUAGAACAAUCAUGAGGUGACAGUCUUUUCCAGCAAUGUACAUAUUGAUCUUAUCGGUCUGUGUGCCGAGUUGCCAGUAGUUGUUUUGGGGUGUAUCUGCUGUGUAUUUUGAUUUCAUAUUUUGACUUGUUGUAUAUAAUCUUUUUGUAAAAUUUUUACAAUAGGAAUCACUGGAACACAGUUUUAGUGUCGUUAUGAUAUUUGUUUUUAGUAUUUUAUAUUA